GCCUGGGUGGCUUAGUUGGUUAAGCAUCUGACUUUGGCUCAGGUUCAGGUUCAAGUUUGAACUCAUGGUUCACAGGUUUGAGCCCCAGUUCACAGGUUUGAGUCCUGUAUCAGGCU
rnacentral:tRNA from 1 species